rnacentral:rRNA from 1 species
UACGUAGGGUGCGAGCGUUAAUCGGAAUUACUGGGCGUAAAGCGUGCGCAGGCGGUUCGUUGUGUCGGCGGUGAAAGCCCCGGGCUUAACCUGGGAAUGGCAUGGGAAACUGGCGGGCUGGAGUGUGGCAGAGGGGGGUGGAAUUCCGCGUGUAGCAGUGAAAUGCGUAGAGAUGCGGAGGAACACCGAUGGCGAAGGCAGCCCCCUGGGCUAACACUGACGCUCAGGCACGAAAGCGUGGGGAGCAAACAGG